rnacentral:rRNA from 1 species
UACGGAGGGUGCAAGCGUUGUUCGGAAUUACUGGGCGUAAAGCGCACGUAGGCGGAUAUUUAAGUCAGGGGUGAAAUCCCAGAGCUCAACUCUGGAACUGCCUUUGAUACUGAAGAUCUUGAGUUCGGGAGAGGUGAGUGGAACUGCGAGUGUAGAGGUGAAAUUCGUAGAUAUUCGCAAGAACACCAGUGGCGAAGGCGGCUCACUGGCCCGAUACUGACGCUGAGACGCGAAAGCGUGGGGGAGCAAACAGG